rnacentral:lncRNA from 1 species
AGCACUUCGCUUCAAGUGUAGUUCCUAAAGGUAUUUACUAUCUUUUGCUAUGGUUUAUCGAUGAUUAUUCCUCUGAUGCUCAUACACGCAGCCAGUUGUCGCCGCCAGAACUACGUCCUCUGCUUUCUGAGAACUUGUUGCACCAUAUCUGAUUGUCAACUGAAAACAUCCUAGCUACUUUAUAGUGGUAAAUUCUGUCGUGCAAUCAUUUCUAAAUCUUGAAAAAAAUUGUUUUCCACGACUUGAAUGACUACAAAAAAUUGUUUUCCAUGUCUUUGAUCGUUAUUCUAGUAUUCUUCCUGUUGGUUGUAUUUCAAUGUCUCAAUCAUUUAAUUCACAUGAUGACAGUUCCAUGAGAUCUUUAAAUCGUAACUACUCUUUAUCCUCUCUUUAAAGUUCAUAAAAGUUUUUGUUGCGUACACAGAUGAAAGUAUCAACUAUUCAUUAUGGUGUAAUUGACUUUGUUGUAGUAGAGAAGCUUGGCCUAGAAAAUACAAGUUCUCGCUCGGCUAUGUGGUUUUCUUCAGGUAACUCUUGACAAGCUUCCCUUAAUUUCUUUUUAUUUUGUUGGCUCAUGUAACCAGACUACAUCUUAUUUAUUGAUUUUUUUGGUUCACUAACCUGAUGAGAGUCUUUCUGGCUUAAGUUGCUUGUCUGAAUGUUAUCAUAGUGGCUUGCUUAAGUUUUGAUUGUUAGACCUUUGAACCUUACAAAUACGUUUGCAUUGUUUGCCAUUAAUAUAUGUAUGAUCUUCCACUAGUGAGAAUUUGUUGUACUCACAAAAUCUUAGAUUGAGAAGAUACAAAAUGAUGGAAAUUGCUGGUGCAUAAGGGCAGCAGGUUCUUUAGAAGCCUAGCAAGCCAAUCUCUCAUGCUUUUCUCAAGGUUAAAUUCUUAAGUCAAACCUAGAAGCUAUCAUUCAAAUGCAAAGCCAAGUGGAAGUCGCAGAAGAUAUAUAGUGUGAUCCUUAGGAAAAACACAUAUUUUCUCUAGUGAUAUAAUAGACUUUUGCGCCUAGAAGACUUACUGAGGCAAGGAUUGAUGACACAAAUGAUUGAUCUACUAACAACCCACUCAUGUCUGUCUAAUUUUACUGAUCAUUUGUACCAUCUUGCACACAAUUGAACAGUCUAAUACAAACCCCUUUUGGCAUUUAAAGAACCAUUUGAGGAUGAAAAAAGACAAAUAAAAGCAUGAUGAAUAGCCAUUUCUUUAGAAAAUGAACAUUAACCAAAGCUUGCUAGCUUAUUUCCAUAUUUCUUUUUUCAUAAAACAACUACCGCAAACAUAUUGAGAAGUUUGCAGUUAAUUUUAAUGCAAAAAGUCUGCUAGCUUAUUUACUACUUACUAGCUAAUAUUAACAUUAUGUCUAGUCCAUGGUUUCCAAAUAAUAGAGUAUUUAUUUGGUACACACAUUGCUUAAGAACUAAAAUCAAAGUUUUUGUAUAGAUCUUGUGUUCAGGAUAAACUCGAAGAUUAGUCACUGUGGUUGUACCAUUAUAAAAUCUAUUUCAGUUUGGAAUUAGUCAAUAUGCUAGUAUCUUAGGUGUUUGUUGGUGGUUAUCAUGAUUCCCUUUGAAAGCUGUUAUUUUUUUCGAGAUAGAAGCACACUCUUACCACAAUAUUACGAGUGAUCAUAGUUUGAUUUCUAUCUGAUUAUUAAAUUAAUGUCUUUUUAUCUGUAGGAGAAUGGUGAUGCAAUUGACGAUGGUGGCAGAAAGUUAAUUUGAUCUAUUAAUGCGCAUGAUGAAGACUUUUGAAUAAUUAGGAUGUCUAUUAAUUUUAAAGUUCAUUGUUAGUGGGAAUUUUGAUACAUAUAUUUUAUUAGUAUGUUUAGUACAGGACCAAGUGAAGUCAAAUUGCAAGUAUAUAUAAAUUUGAUUUAUUUUUUUGAUAUUUAUUACUUUAGUUUUUGAUAUCAUCAAAA